GACAUACAGACAUACAUACUGAUGGACAUACAUGCAUACUGACAUUGAGACAUACAUACAUGUAUACUGACAUACAGACAGACAUACAUGCAAACUGACAUACAUACAUACUCACAGACAUACAUGCAUACCCUCUUGUUUCUUACCUUUUCCUACAGGAGGGUGGUUGGUGCUGAUGGGAGUCAACGUGGCUCUCCCUCUUCAAUCCCUCCACGCUUUCUCUCUUCCCGCACGAAGUGAGCCGGUCAUGCUAUUACAUGGCCCGGUGCAGACCUAAAUUGGUCUUUCAGCCAAAUUUACUAAUACUAAGUAAAG